rnacentral:rRNA from 1 species
AGAGUUUGAUCCUGGCUCAGGAUGAACGCUAGCGGCAGGCUUAAUACAUGCAAGUCGAGGGGCAGCACGGGUAGCAAUACCUGGUGGCGACCGGCAAACGGGUGCGGAACACGUACGCAACUUUCCCAAAACUGGUGAAUAGCCCUCCGAAAGGAGGAUUAAUACACCGUAACAUAAUGAAAUGGCAUCAUUUUAUUAUUAUAGCUUCGGCGGUUUUGGAUGGGCGUGCGCCUGAUUAGGUAGUUGGCGGGGUAACGGCCCACCAAGCCUGCGAUCAGUAACUGGUGUGAGAGCACGACCAGUCACACGGGCACUGAGACACGGGCCCGACUCCUACGGGAGGCAGCAGUAAGGAAUAUUGGUCAAUGGACGAAAGUCUGAACCAGCCAUGCCGCGUGAAGGAUGAAGGUCCUCUGGAUUGUAAACUUCUUUUAUCUGGGACGAAAAAAGGGAAUUCUUUCUCACUUGACGGUACCAGAGGAAUAAGCACCGGCUAACUCCGUGCCAGCCGCCGCGGUAAUUC